rnacentral:rRNA from 1 species
UACGUAGGGACCAAGCGUUGUUCGGAUUUACUGGGCGUAAAGGGCGCGUAGGCGGCGCGGUAAGUCACUUGUGAAAUCUCCGGGCUUAACCCGGAAAGGUCAACUGAUACUGCGGGGCUAGAGUGCAGAAGGGGCAACUGGAAUUCUCGGUGUAGCGGUGAAAUGCGUAGAUAUCGAGAGGAACACCUGCGGCGAAGGCGGGUUGCUGGGCUGACACUGACGCUGAACUGCGAAAGCUAGGGGAGCGAACGGG